CUGCCGAUGUGAUUGUAUGUUAUAUUUGACGGGAUUAUUUAAGUUUGUGAUUAAUAAAGAAUAUGUUUUCAUAAAAAGAUUGUAACACAGUCGAUCAGUUCAUCAAUUCAGAGCGGCGAAAUUUAACGUUUAUUUUUUGUGUUUCCAGUGAAGUAAAGUAAUACAAAACAUAAAUCGGAAUUAUGGGGUGCUGUUGUAGCGCAUCUGACUCACAAGACAUAACCACGGACGUACCAGCACCCAGUACUGGAAGUUCGCAACCAGCACCUAUCAGUACUCAACAACCCAUUGGUGCAUCGAAUACUGGCUACACACAUUCAAAUGAUGGAUGAUACAGGAAUAAUCAGUCUAUUGAAUCAAGUUAAUAUGAACAAUGAAACUUGAAUGAUCCGGAAAAUGUUAUUGUAGUUUUAAUGGUUCCGUUUUUUUUUUACGAAUAGUUAAAUGAAAGUGCUGUUGUGAGUCACCGAAAAUAUGGUUAGAAUUUGGUGGAUUUUCGAUUUUUAUGAAAUGUUACCUAAUUUUUAUGUCUGUUUAUAGUAUUAUAUGAUAAGAGAAACAAAAAAAAAAUGUUUUGCUUUGUUAUCAUCCAUUUUGUUGUCUAAUAAAAGGUUUUAGUUAAAAGUUGUACAAAA